rnacentral:rRNA from 1 species
UACGAAGGGUGCAAGCGUUAAUCGGAAUUACUGGGCGUAAAGGGUGCGUAGGCGGUUGUUUAAGUCUGUCGUGAAAUCCCCGGGCUCAACCUGGGAAUGGCGAUGGAUACUGGACAGCUAGAGUGUGUCAGAGGAUGGUGGAAUUUCCGGUGGAGCGGUGAAAUGCGUAGAGAUCGGAAAGAACACCAACGGCGAAAGCACUCUGCUGGGCCGACACUGACACUGAGAGACGAAAGCUAGGGGAGCGAAUGGGA